rnacentral:rRNA from 2 species
CAACUCUCAACAACGGAUAUCUUGGCUCCCGUAACGAUGAAGAACGCAGCGAAAUGCGAUACGUAGUGUGAAUUGCAGAAUUCCGUGAACCAUCGAAUCUUUGAACGCAAAUUGCGCUCGAGGCUUCGGCCAAGAGCAUGUCUGGCUCAGCGUC